rfam:Procavia capensis cont1.520819, whole genome shotgun sequence.
UUAAAAGGGGCUCUCCCGGGACCCUUCCCUGGGAAGGCGCGGCAGCGUCCCCGAACUCGGCGCUGUGGGGCCGCGGCGCUUAGGGUGCGUGGAUGCCUCUCUGGUCCCCAC